rnacentral:rRNA from 1 species
GCCCAGAUGGGAUUAGCUUGUUGGUGAGGUAACGGCUCACCAAGGCGACGAUCCCUAGCUGGUCUGAGAGGAUGACCAGCCACACUGGAACUGAGACACGGUCCAGACUCCUACGGGAGGCAGCAGUGGGGAAUAUUGCACAAUGGGCGCAAGCCUGAUGCAGCCAUGCCGCGUGUAUGAAGAAGGCCUUCGGGUUGUAAAGUACUUUCAGCGGGGAGGAAGGUGUUGUGGUUAAUAACCGCAGCAAUUGACGUUACCCGCAGAAGAAGCACCGGCUAACUCCGUGCCAGCAGCCGCGGUAAUACGGAGGGUGCAAGCGUUAAUCGGAAUUACUGGGCGUAAAGCGCACGCAGGCGGUCUGUCAAGUCGGAUGUGAAAUCCCCGGGCUCAACCUGGGAACUGCAUUCGAAACUGGCAGGCUUGAGUCUUGUAGAGGGGGGUAGAAUUCCAGGUGUAGCGGUGAAAU